AUAACUCACUGCAGCCUUAACUUGGGCAUGUCAGCACUUAAUAUUUCCCGCUAAUGUUACAUCUGGAGAUGUUCAGAUAUUAACCACAGAACUGAGGGCAACCCUUAAUCAUUUGGCAAAUACUUGAAGGAAGAGAGGCUACUUACCGAAAGACACCAAAUAACACAAGUGAAUGCAAAGGUUAACAAAGUUAGUGGACCAAACAAACCUGAUACUGAGAACGAACUUUCACAUGCAGCAAGCAAAUAAACUUAUCUUUCCCUGACUGAUUUGUACAGAAGAGCUGAGAUACCAAAAUAUUAAACAUUAUUAACUACAUAAUAUCUAUUUAUAGUUUAAAGAAAUGAAGCAGAAAGAAAACAUCACCUUUUUAAUUGCAAAUCCAUAACAAUGUUCUGUUGAUCAUGCUGGAAGAAUGGUAGAAAAAGGAACUACACUUAUUACAAUUCAAAGUAUUUUCAUUAGAUCAAGACUGGAGAUUCUGUGGCCCAUUUAGAUAUUGCUGAAUAAAAUUCCCAGGAGCCAAUAUGAACAGUGAUAAGGAUACUUGGAGAUGCAGCUUACUAGGAUUUGGAGGACAACAGGCUUCUUGCUUCAGUAUAAAUAAGCUGUGCUUGCUAUCACCCUUAGUCAUACCAUCCAUCAUCCAGCUACUGAAGCCAACUCCCUGCAACAAAGAGACACUUGU